AAUAUUGCGCAAUGGAGGAAACUCUGACGCAGCGACGCCGCGUGAGCGAUGAAGGUCUUCGGAUCGUAAAGCUCUGUCCUUGGGGAAGAAGAUCGAAAGAUUUGACGGUACCCGAGGAGGAAGCCCCGGCUAACUACGUGCCAGCAGCCGCGGUAAUACGUAGGGGGCAAGCGUUGUCCGGAAUUAUUGGGCGUAAAGGGCGAGUAGGCGGCCAGUUAUGUCAGAUGUGAAAGGCUAGGGCUCAACCCUAACAUGGCAUUUGAAACUGAUUGGCUUGAGAGUAGGAGAGGGAAGUGGAAUUCCUAAUGUAGCGGUGAAAUGCGUAGAUAUUAGGAGGAACACCAGUGGCGAAGGCGACUUCCUGGCCUACAACUGACGCUGAUGCGCGAAAGCGUGGGGAGCAAACA
rnacentral:rRNA from 1 species